rnacentral:rRNA from 2 species
CGGGUGCUAUACUGCAGUCGAGCGAGCGGAACUAACAGAUUUACUUCGGUAAUGACGUUAGGAAAGCGAGCGGCGGAUGGGUGAGUAACACGUGGGGAACCUGCCCCAUAGUCUGGGAUACCACUUGGAAACAGGUGCUAAUACCGGAUAAGAAAGCAGAUCGCAUGAUCAGCUUUUAAAAGGCGGCGUAAGCUGUCGCUAUGGGAUGGCCCCGCGGUGCAUUAGCUAGUUGGUAAGGUAAAGGCUUACCAAGGCGAUGAUGCAUAGCCGAGUUGAGAGACUGAUCGGCCACAUUGGGACUGAGACACGGCCCAAACUCCUACGGGAGGCAGCAGUAGGGAAUCUUCCACAAUGGACGCAAGUCUGAUGGAGCAACGCCGCGUGAGUGAAGAAGGUUUUCGGAUCGUAAAGCUCUGUUGUUGGUGAAGAAGGAUAGAGGUAGUAACUGGCCUUUAUUUGACGGUAAUCAACCAGAAAGUCACGGCUAACUACGUGCCAGCAGCCGCGGUAAUACGUAGGUGGCAAGCGUUGUCCGGAUUUAUUGGGCGUAAAGCGAGCGCAGGCGGAAGAAUAAGUCUGAUGUGAAAGCCCUCGGCUUAACCGAGGAACUGCAUCGGAAACUGUUUUUCUUGAGUGCAGAAGAGGAGAGUGGAACUCCAUGUGUAGCGGUGGAAUGCGUAGAUAUAUGGAAGAACACCAGUGGCGAAGGCGGCUCUCUGGUCUGCAACUGACGCUGAGGCUCGAAAGCAUGGGUAGCGAACAGGAUUAGAUACCCUGGUAGUCCAUGCCGUAAACGAUGAGUGCUAAGUGUUGGGAGGUUUCCGCCUCUCAGUGCUGCAGCUAACGCAUUAAGCACUCCGCCUGGGGAGUACGACCGCAAGGUUGAACU